UUAGCCCUACGGGGGGCAGCAGUGGGGAAUAUUGCACAAUGGGGGGAACCCUGAUGCAGCGACGCCGCGUGAGUGAAGAAGUAUUUCGGUAUGUAAAGCUCUAUCAGCAGGAACGAGACAAGACGGUACCUGACUAAGAAGCCCCGGCUAACUACGUGCCAGCAGCCGCGGUAAUACGUAGGGGGCAAGCGUUAUCCGGAAUCACUGGGUGUAAAGGGAGCGUAGACGGCUGAGCAAGCCUGAAGUGAAAGGCGGGGGCCCAACCACCGGACUGCUUUGGGAACUGCACAGC
rnacentral:rRNA from 1 species